AACGAACGCUGGCGGCAUGCCUAACACAUGCAAGUCGAACGAGACCUUCGGGUCUAGUGGCGCACGGGUGCGUAACGCGUGGGAACCUGCCCUUAGGUUCGGAAUAACCCCCCGAAAGGGGUGCUAAUACCGGAUAAUGUCUUCGGACCAAAGAUUUAUCGCCUUUGGAUGGGCCCGCGUUGGAUUCGCUAGUUGGUAGGGUAAAAGCCUACCAAGGCGACGAUCCAUAGCUGGUCUGAGAGGGUGAUCAGCCACACUGGGACUGAGACACGGCCCAGACUCCUACGGGAGGCAGCAGUGGGGAAUAUUGGACAAUGGGAGAGAGCCUGAUCCAGCAAUGCCGCGUGAGUGAUGAAGGCCUUAGGGUUGUAAAGCUCUUUUACCCGGGAUGAUAAUGACAGUACCGGGAGAAUAAGCUCCGGCUAACUCCGUG
rnacentral:rRNA from 1 species